GUCGGCCAGCUGUCUCGUUAUUCCCAAUUGCGCCAGAUCUCUAUUGGGCAUCGCCUCUUGAUUGUGUCGGCCCUAGAUCUAGAGCUCCACUUGUUCCACAGCAGUUUCGGAUUUCAUCAUCGAAGGGUUUCAGAUCUGUUGGGUUUGGGUUGUUAGGUUUACAAGAGAGAGGUGGAGGAUAGUUGUAGAUUGCCGCAGUUGGUUGUAAGCCACUUCUAGUGCUACCUUGAUACUAAAUUGGGUAGCAAGUAGAUGAAUCAAGGAUGCUUGGGAGAGUCCUGACUGCCAGUCCUACGUCACAUCCGAAGACUGCAUCGGGUUUCGUUUAUUCUUUACUCGUAUUUUGUAUUUGGUGUUAUAUUAAUUCGAUUAUCUUUUGGAGUUUAUUAUGUGGAGUUGAAUUUUGUGUUGUUGUGGUUGUUGUAUAAAGUCUAGCCAACUAGCAGUGUGUUGUUUUA